GACGAACGCUGGCGGCGUGCUUAACACAUGCAAGUCGAGCGAUGAAACUCCUUCGGGAGUGGAUAGCGGCGGACGGGUGAGUAACACGUGGGCAACCUGCCUUAUAGAGAGGAAUAGCCAUCCGAAAGGAUGAUUAAUACCUCAUAAUAUUGUAGCUUCGCAUGGAGCAACAAUCAAAGGAGCAAUCCACUAUAAGAUGGGCCCGCGGCGCAUUAGCUAGUUGGUGAGGUAACGGCUCACCAAGGCGACGAUGCGUAGCCGACCUGAGAGGGUGAUCGGCCACAUUGGGACUGAGACACGGCCCAGACUACUGCGGGAGGCAGCAGUGGGGAAUAUUGCACAAUGGGGGAAACCCUGAUGCAGCAACGCCGCGUGAGUGAUGAUGGCCUUCGGGUUGUAAAGCUCUGUCUUCAGGGACGAUAAUGACGGUACCUGAGGAGGAAGCCACGGCUAACUACGUGCCAGCCGCCGCGGUAAGAC
rnacentral:rRNA from 1 species